CUUUACUGGACGUUACUGUGUGUGCAUGCAUUGUUGUUUUCAGCAGUAUGUUUGUUUAUUUUUCUGAAUGUCCCUGUGUGACUUAUCUCACCAUUCUCUUGUGACUUGCUCUGUGGACUAGGGACUUCAGCCCCCAAAAUACAUUUGAUAACCCCUCCUAUAGUUGACAUUAAGCUUGCCAAUAAUCCAGCUCAGCUGCACCUUAAAUUUUUUUCCCCUUCCCCAGCCCCUCUGUGUCUC